AACGCUAGCGGCAAGCUUAACACAUGCAAGUCGAGCGGCAGCGGAAAAAAAAAUUAAUUUAUUUUUUUUUGCCGGCAAGCGGCGGACGGGUGAGUAAUAUCUGGGGAUCUACCUUAUGGAGGGGGAUAACUAUUGGAAACGAUAGCUAAUACCGCAUAAUGUCUAUUUAUAUAAAAAUAAACCUUAUACCAUUAGAUGAACCCAGAUGAGAUUAGCUAGUAGGUAAGGUAAAAGCUUACCUAGGCGACGAUCUCUAGCUGGUCUGAGAGGAUGACCAGCCACACUGGAACUGAGACACGGUCCAGACUCCUACGGGAGGCAGCAGUGGGGAAUAUUGCACAAUGGGGGAAACCCUGAUGCAGCUAUGCCGCGUGUGUGAAGAAGGCCUUUGGGUUGUAAAGCACUUUCAGUAGGAAAGAAGUAUAUAUUACUAAUAAUGAUAUAUAUUGACGUUACCUAAAAAAGAAGCACCGGCUAACUCCGUGCCAGCAGCCGCGGUAAUACGGAGGGUGCGAGCGUUAAUCGAAAUUACUGGGCGUAAAGAGUGCGUAGGUGGUUUAUUAAGUCAGAUGUGAAAUCCCUGGGCUUAACCUAGGAACUGCAUUUGAAACUGAUAAACUAGAGUUUCGUAGAGGGGGGUAGAAUUCCAAGUGUAGCGGUGAAAUGCGUAGAUAUUUGGAGGAAUACCAGUGGCGAAGGCGACCCCCUGGAUGAAAACUGACACUGAGGUACGAAAGCGUGGGGAGCAAACAGGAUUAGAUACCCUGGUAGUCCAUGCUGUAAACGAUGUCGAUUUGAAGGUGGUGGCCUUAGAGCUAUUACUUUCGUAGCUAACGCGUUAAAUCGACCGCCUGGGGAGUACGGCCGCAAGGUUAAAACUCAAAUGAAUUGACGGGGGCCCGCACAAGCGGUGGAGCAUGUGGUUUAAUUCGAUGCAACGCGAAGAACCUUACCUACUCUUGACAUCCAGAGUACUUAGUAGAGAUAUUAAGGUGCCUUAGGGAACUCUGAGACAGGUGCUGCAUGGCUGUCGUCAGCUCGUGUUGUGAAAUGUUGGGUUAAGUCCCGCAACGAGCGCAACCCUUAUUCUUUGUUGCCAGCGAUUAGGUCGGGAACUCAAAGAAAACUGCCGGUGAUAAACUGGAGGAAGGUGGGGAUGACGUCAAGUCAUCAUGGCCCUUACGAGUAGGGCUACACACGUGCUACAAUGGUGUAUACAAAGAGAAGCAAUCUUGCAAAAGUUAGCAAAUCUCACAAAGUGCAUCGUAGUCCGGAUUGGAGUCUGCAACUCGACUCCAUGAAGUAGGAAUCGCUAGUAAUCGUGGAUCAGAAUGCCGCGGUGAAUACGUUCCCGGGCCUUGUACACACCGCCCGUCACACCAUGGAAAGUCGUAACAAGGUUUCCGUAGGUGAACCUGCGGAAGGAUCAAUAUUAUUAU
rnacentral:rRNA from 1 species